CCCCACAGGUGAGACCCACAUGAGACCCACAGAGGACUCUGUUUAUUUGCAGCCAUACAGCCAUGUAUUGGGAUCCCCACCCCUUUAAUCAAUGGGGCAGCAGGUGGGUUCCGAUCCGGUUCCGUUUACUUCUCCCCGGGAUCAUGUCGUUGCUAUGGGCUGGUUCUGCUCCAGUUCUUCUCCAUCUCCACCAUGGGAUUUGACCCCAUCCACCACCAUCUGAACCUGCUCCACCUCCGAGAAUCCCAAACGAUCCGCGUUGGAAAUGUCGAACACCGAACCCACAGCAGCCGUGUCCACACCACCUAUAGGGCAGGGAUCACAUUGACAGCCCAUAGAGACCCAUAGAGACCAUAGGACCCAUUUAGGGACCCAUAGAGACCCCAUAGGGGACUCAUAGAGACCGCAUAGAGACCCAUAGGCGACCAUAGGGACCCAUUAGGGACCCAUAGGGACCAUAGAGACCCAUAGGACCCAGUAGAGACCCAUUAGAGAGCCCAUAGGGAACCCAUAGGGACCCAUAGAGACCCAUAGGGACCAUAGGGACCCAUAGAGACCCUAGAGACCCAUGGACCCAUAGGGACCAUAGGGACCCAUAGAGACCCAUAGAGACCCAUAGGACCAUAGAGACCCACAGAGACCCAUAGAGACCCAUAGGAACCCAUAGAGACCCAUAGGGACCCAUUAGGGGACCCAUAGGACCCUAGGACUCAUAGGGACCUUUAGAACCCAUAGAGCACCCAUAGGGACCAUAGCGGGACCCAAGGGAUCCCAAUAGGCGACCCAUAAGACCCAUAGGGGACACAAUAUAGACCCAUAGGGAACCCAUAGGGACCCAUAGAGACCCAUAGGGACCCAUAGAGAACCAUAGGCCGACCCAUAGGACCCAUUAGAGACCCAUAGGGACUCAUAGGGACCCAUAGAGACCCAUAGGGACCCAUAGAGACCCAUAGGGACCCAUAGGGACCCAUAGCAGACCCAUAGAGACCCAUAGGACCCAGAGAGACCCAUCAGAGACCCAUAAGACCCAUAGGGACCAUAGAGCAGAAUGCGGCCAAUAGAGACCAAUAGGACCCCAUAGAACCCCAAGAUGGGGUCAAACUCAUGGUGGAGAUGGAGAAGAAACUGGAGCAGAACCAGCCCAUAGACGACAUGAUCCCGGCCCAGAAGUAACCGGAACCGGAUCGGAACCACCUGCCCCAUUGAUUAAAGGGGGUG
rnacentral:lncRNA from 1 species